rfam:Nomascus leucogenys chromosome 19, whole genome shotgun sequence.
GCCAGGCACGGUUGCACAGGCCUGGAAUCUCAGCUACUUGAGAGGCUGAGGUGGGAGGAUUUCCUGAGCCCCGGAGGUUAAGGCUACAGUGGGCUGAGAUCAUGCCACUGUAUUCCAGCCUGGGUGACAGAGCAAGAUUCUGUCUCAAAAUUUUUUGUUUUUUAAAAUUUUUAUUGAGAAGGAUCUCGCUCUGUUGUCCAGGCUGGAAUACAGUGGCAUGAUCUCAGCCCACUGUAGCCUUAACCUCCGGGGCUCAGGCAAUCCUCCCACCUCAG